rnacentral:rRNA from 1 species
CCUCUAGAGAUUCCUACGGGAGGCAGCAGUGGGGAAUAUUGCACAAUGGGCGAAAGCCUGAUGCAGCCAUGCCGCGUGUAUGAAGAAGGCCUUCGGGUUGUAAAGUACUUUCAGUUGUGAGGAAGGGUGUGUAGUUAAUAACUGCGCACCUUGACGUUAGCAACAGAAGAAGCACCGGCUAGCUCCGUGCCAGCAGCCGCGGUAAUAA